rnacentral:lncRNA from 1 species
AUUUUUUUGCGCCUGCGCAUAAAUCUGAGAAACGUGAGUUUUGUCUUCAUUGUUUAUCUCGACAUAGGAUAGGUUGUGUGAAAAUAUUACUGAUGUUUAACGUUAAAAAUGGACCAAAAGAUUAAUGCUAAACAACAUUUGACAUGUUUGAACGAACAUAAAUAGAUUAUUUACUAGUUUUUUUUAGCUUUUCGGCGUGAUUUUACAGUCCCCCACCACGUUUUGUGGGAGCAUAAUGAACGCUAAGUACUUGGUGUUAUUUGGACAUAAAUUAUGAACUUUGUCAAAAGAAACCACAUUUGUUCCGGACCUGGAAUGCCUUCCGGACCUGGGAUGCCUGUCUUCUGAUGGAGAUAAUCAAAGCUCUCUCCCUCUCUCUCUGUCUCUGUCAAUCUGUCUCUCUGUAUCUCUUUGUAUCUGACUAUCAGCCCGUAGCACUCACAUCUGUAGCCAUGAAAUGCUUUGAAAGGCUGGUCUUGGCUCACAUCGACAUCAUCAUCCUAGACACGCUGGACCCACUCCAAUUCUCAUACCGCCCCAGCAGAUCCACAGAUGAUGCCAUCUCCAUUGCACUCCACACUGCCCUUUCCCAUCGAGACAAAAGAGACACCUAUGUGAGAAUGCUAUUCAUUGAAAACAGCUCAGCGUUCAACACCAUGGUGCCCUCAAAGCUCAUCACUAAGCUAAGGACCCUGGGACUAAACACCUUCCUCUGCAACUGGAUCCUGGACUUUCUGAAGUGCCACCCCCAGGUGGUGACGAUAGGCAACAUACUGAUAAUUCAACACGGGGGCCCCUCAGGGGUGCGUGCUCAAGUCUCCUCCUGUACUCCCUGUUCACCCAUGACUGCAUGGCCAGGCACGACUCCAACACCAUCAUCAAGUUUACCAACAACACGACAGUGGUAGGCCUGAUUAUUGGCGACGAUAAGACAGCCUACAGGGAGGAGGUCAGAGAACUGGCAGUGUGGUGCCAGAACACCAACAACCAACACCAAAAACACACUAACACAGUCGUGAAGGGGCCCCUUGGGAGGCUGAAAAGAUGUGUCAUGGGCCCUCAGAUCCUCAAAAAGGAUCUGUACCAUCGAGAGCAUCCUGACUGGUUGCAUCACCGCCUGGUAUGGCAACUGCUUGGCAUCCGACCGCAAGGCGCUACAGAGGGUAGUGCUUACGGCCCAGUACAUCACUGGGGCCAAGCUCCCUGCCAUCCAGGACCUCUAUACCAGGCGGUGUCAGAGGAAGGCCCUAAAAAGACUCCAGCCACCCACGUCAUAGACUGUUCUCUCUGCUACCGCACUGCAAGCGGUACCGAUGCACCAAGUCUGGAACCAAUAGGACCCUGACCCAGUAUGUACACUACCGGUCAAAAGUUUUAGAACAUCUACUCAUUCAAGGCUUUUUCUUUAUUUUUACUAUUUUCUAUGUUGUAGA